AACGAACGCUGGCGGCAUGCCUAACACAUGCAAGUCGAACGAGACCUUCGGGUCUAGUGGCGCACGGGUGCGUAACGCGUGGGAACCUGCCCUUAGGUUCGGUAUAACUCCCCGAAAGGGGUGCUAAUACCGGAUAAUGUCUUCGGACCAAAGAUUUAUCGCCUUUGGAUGGGCCCGCGUUGGAUUAGCUAGUUGGUAGGGUAAAAGCCUACCAAGGCGACGAUCCAUAGCUGGUCUGAGAGGAUGAUCAGCCACACUGGGACUGAGACACGGCCCAGACUCCGACGGGAGGCAGCAGUGGGGAAUAUUGGACAAUGGGCGAAAGCCUGAUCCAGCAAUGCCGCGUGAGUGAUGAAGGCCUUAGGGUUGUAAAGCUCUUUUACCCGGGAUGAUAAUGACAGUACCGGGAGAAUAAGCUCCGGCUAACUCCGUG
rnacentral:rRNA from 1 species